AUACCGCUGGAUGCUGGGCUAGACACGGGGGCAAUGAAGACUCCGACGCCAAGUUACGGACAACGCCAGACUUCCUGCCUUUGGAGUACAGUUGGGAGGCCUCCAUAUACACCGGAUCAGUGUUUCCCAACCAGGGUGCCUCCAGCUUUUAAAAUAAACUACAACUCUUAGUACACCUGGACAUCUACAGUCCUGUCUGUCUCUUCCAGAGGAUCCACACUGUCCCUGAAAGGUGCUUCCUAAAAGUGUGUUUGAGCUGCUGCCAUUGGAAAGUCAAGCCCCGCUACAAGGAUAGGCAGCAGUACCGGAAGGAUGAUAAGUACUGGAAGGAUGCCAGGGGAAAGCACAGGAGACAUGGGCCGUUCUUGGACUCCAUCGCAUGUAUCCACUGGGUGACAAUCUGCCUCGGGUCCUGAUCCAUUGCCAUGCCGAAACCUUCGGGAGACUUGAUGCAUCACAACAAUGUCCGUAGUAAAUGGAGGGAUGGUUCAUAUAGUUUACCACGUCUCACCAAGUGGGGAUCCUGCCCAAUUUUCUAGGAUACCCAGCUGGUGCAACAUCAAAGCUACCAAAUUCAAGUAGAAUUACAAGUGCUGGCGCAGCACACCACAUACAAGUGAUAGUGACUAGUGACCAAAUUCCGUGGCUACAGCAGAUAAAAUGUGUGUUUACCAAGUCCAAGUAAUGUUUUAUUGCACUCAGGUUCAAUAAAGUCUACUGUGGUUUUCCAA